AAAUAAAAAAUUUUAAAAGUGGCGGUCUUUGCGAAAUGAUACGACGGUUUUAAUCUUUUAACUGGUCUAACCAAAAAACCUCUUCAAACUCUCGCAUUCUCUGCUAUUUGAUUUUGACGGAGAGCUCCAAAACUAGUUUAACCAAAGGUUUGCUUGGUUUUGUCGACCCUGGAAACCCUACAUUUGCAGUCGAGAAUAAAUCCCGUGAACAUGGCGGUCAAAUCUUACCGGCCAAGUUUAUUUGCUAAGUUUGCAGAGGAGAAAUAUUGGAGAUCUCAUCAUGAAUGUUGGUUCUGCGGUGAUGUUGGAAGAUGUGCUUCCCCUCUUCAUAGCUGAUACAAAGUUAGAAUCUUUCUUCUGAUUGAUAGUUCAGAUCUGCGGUGAUGUUUGAGAUUUCAAAGCUGACAAAGCUAUACCUAUAGAAGAAGCUUUGCUAGGGCUUGACGCCUCCUGAGUCCAGAGAUUCAACAAACUGCCGAUACAUUUCACCGACGAUAUUCUCUUAACUCCGACGAUUGGCCCUUUCCAAGUUUCCAAGUUGACCCUGAGUAUGUUUUUUCACAGCCUGAAACUUUGACCAUGCCUGUUGUAAGUUCUGUUGGAGGUCACCAUGAAGCUAAUGCGUAAUUUGGGUUUUUUCUUCCUAUCUUUGUUUCUUUGAACACUCACAAAACAAACUUUAUUAAUUAUAAUCCCAAGAACUUUUUUCUAUGCAUGGUAUGCUAAAGAGAAGCAUUGGCUAGCCAACAAUAUAUUGGGAUUAGCAUUC